rnacentral:rRNA from 1 species
UAGCUUGUUGGUGGGGUAAUGGCCUAGCAAGGCGACGAUGGGUAGCCGGCCUGAGAGGGUGAACGGCCACAUUGUGGACUGAGAUACGGCCCAGACUCCUACGGGAGGCAGCAGUUAAGAAUCUUGCGCAAUGGGCGAAAGCCUGACGCAGCGACGCCGCGUGGACGAUGAAGGCCUUCGGGUUGUAAAGUCCGAUAAGCAGGGAAGAAUAAAGCGAGAUUUAAUAUAUCUUGUGAUGACGGUACCUGCCUAAAGCCCCGGCUAACUACGUGCCAGCAGCCGCGGGAAUACGUAUGGGGCAAGCGUUGUUCGGAAUUAUUGGGCGUAAAGGGCGUCUAGGCGGGGAGUUAAGUUAGGUGUGAAAAGCCAUGGGCUCAACCCAUGAAUUGCAUCUAAAACUGAUUCUCUUGAGUUCGGGAGAGGAGAGCGGAAUUCCCGGUGUAGCGGUGAAAUGCGUAGAUAUCGGGGAGGAACAACCAGUGGCGAAGGCGGCUCUCUGGCCUAGAACUGACGCUGAAGCGCGAAAGCGUGGGGAGCGAACGGGAUUAGAUACCCCGGUAGUCCACGCUGUAAACGUUGUGUACUAGGUGUUAGUGGCUUGUCCUCUAGUACCGAAGCUAACGCAUUAAGUACACCGCCUGGGGAGUACGCCCGCAAGGGUGAAACUCAAAGAAAUUGACGGGGGCCCGCACAAGCGGUGGAGCAUGUGGUUUAAUUCGAUGAUACGCGAAGAACCUUACCUGGGCUUGAACUGUACCCGACAGGUGUAGAGAUACACCCUCCUUCGGGCGGGUAUAGAGGUGCUGCAUGGUUGUCGUCAGCUCGUGUCGUGAGAUGUUGGGUUAAGUCCCGCAACGGGCGCAACCCUUACCCCUUGUUGCCAUCAGGUAAUGCUGAGCACUCUAGGGGAACUGCCGGUGACAAACCGGAGGAAGGUGGGGAUGACGUCAAAUCAUCACGGCCCUUAUGUCCAGGGCUACACACGUGCUACAAUGGCCGGUACAAAGAGUUGCGAUACCGCGAGGUGGAGCUAAUCUCAAAAAACCGGUCUCAGUUCAGAUUGUAGUCUGCAACUCGACUGCAUGAAGCUGGAAUCGCUAGUAAUCGCGGAUCAGCACGCCGCGGUGAAUACGUUCCCGGGCCUUGUACACACCGCCCGUCACACCACCCGAGUUGGAGCACCCGAAGUGGCUGAUCUAACCGCAAGGAGGAAGGU